GUUCAGGUGAAAGUGCCGAGCUUGCCGAAACGAACUGACAUGCAAUCGACUUCGAAAGUGCAGAUCCUUGCUGCGGAGCCUCCCACUCAACCUGUCGAGCCUCCUUCCCGACCACCGAUCUCUUCAACUGCAGAGGGCGGAUCCUUAUGGCAGGCGACCCCGGCUAGGCGACCACUCUCCCAAGAUGGUCAAGUCUUGCUUCAAUCACUGGA
rnacentral:misc_RNA from 1 species